AAUUAAUGAUUUGGACAUCUUCUCAUCAUUACUUUAAAUCUCUCCCAAGCUUCACAAAAUGGUUAAUCUAGUCCUUGUCUAAACAUAGAGAUGUCAGACUUUUGUUU
rnacentral:snoRNA from 1 species